GCCGCUAGCUUCUGUAACAAGGCUACGGAAUGGCAUGCAUGAAUGAAUCGGUGACAUGUGCACCGUAGCCGCGCCCCCUUGCCCUUGGCUUGGCAUUCAAAAGUGCCGGCAACGCAUAAACGACGGCAAACCGUGUCUGUCUGGCAAAUGGUUACGGUCACCAAAUAACUAGCUAAGAUAGAUGAGUUUUUUUUUUAAUUUUCUGUCGGCUGCUCCUAGAUCGUAUUUCAACGACUCUGUCUUAGUUAAGUAAUUACCUCUAUUUAAAACAAGGCGUAGUACAUCGAAGCCAUUGGCAGGACUUGUUGAUUCCUCUCGCGAGAAUGGAAGGCGGUAUAUACCUUGUCCAUUUGUUCGUGUCGAGCCGUUGUCAGGAGCUAGGAGGACAAGCUACGGGCCGGCAUAUGGAAUUAUCCCAAGUACUCCCUCCGUCUUAAAACAAGUCACGUUCAUUCGUGUAGAUUUCGGACGUAUUACAACUGAUCGAAAAAACUAAAGUGGCAACAAAGAUUUCGGACAAACUGAAAGUUACAUAAAAAAAAACUUUGAAGCCAACUUCUCUAGUUGCGCCAAUUGCAUCUUGAUAUUUCUCCGAAUCUCUAGUAAAAACCAAAUCUGCAUAAGCUGAACUAACCUUAUAGAUUUUAUUGAGCUGCAUGAGCGGCCCACCACAGCGGGUUAGAACUAAUAUCGUUGAACGCGUCGUGGCCAGGGACAUCCCUCCCAAGACAGGUUGUCGAACCAUUGCAUCAUUGCCGAACCGAUGAAGAAAAUGACCAAAAUCACGAAAUUACGAGCCGUGAGAUCCCAAAACUCCGUAGAGUAGACCACGAUAGACACGCCAGAACAGGAAUGGAUCUGUG
rnacentral:lncRNA from 1 species